UCAUGAGGACACAGGGGCCACCCAAGGCAGGACUCCGGGUGAGGAUGAAUGCCGGUGGUACGAUGGAAGAGGUACGGGUCAGGCAGGUUUCGUUGGAGCAACACAGGUCCAUCCGAAUGGGAUAACGAGGUCAGUGCUCCAUCGUGUGGGUAAAGUGUGCAACCUCUGCGGAGUGUAAAAUUUAUUAGAAUAGCCGUGUCCAGGGUAUUGGACAUCCCGUCUAGACCUCACUAGGUUGUCAACUGUAAAGGUGAUAAUAAUGAUGGAAGAACUCGUCUUGUGCAGACAUCCGAUGAUGUCAGGAAUAUGAUAUGUUAGCCAUGGGAUGGCUAUGAGAUGGGUGGACGGAUGACCACAUGAGUUGGAUUAGAUUUGGAUCAGAUUGAGAUUGGAUCGUCAUGACAUUCAGAGUAUAAAUCAUUUACUUAAUAUGCUUUACCUUAUCGUAUUUACUUUAGUAGUUAUCUUGCUAGAUAGUCCUAUUAUAUCAUGAUAUUUAAUCCUGCUAGAUAGGUAAGCUAUGCCAUGAUAAUUAACAUUGCUCUAAUAACAAGUGCAUGCUUGAAUGCCAUAGAUUGCAUUGCUUAGUGUAUAUGUUAGUUCGGUUUGCUUGCGAGUACAUUCAAAAGUACUUAGCGGCUUUUAACAUGGCCAGGUUCACGUAAGGAUCCAUCGUCCGCCAUCGAGGAACCGGAGCCUUCACGGGCUAGGAGAGUAACUAUUGGGGAUAUUAUCUGUUGGGUAACCCGCCCUA
rnacentral:lncRNA from 1 species